AAGAAGUUAGGUGGGGGUCGGGCUUCCCGUAAAAGCCCGAUUGGUGAGGGCUGAUAAUCAGUGGGGGAUGAACGCCCCCACUGAUUA
rnacentral:tRNA from 1 species